AGCGGAUUAGUGUAGUAGAAACAUAAUUGGCUCAUGCCCAUUAGUGAAGGGUGCAAAUCCCUUGUCCGCAU
rfam:Tuber melanosporum whole genome shotgun sequence assembly, scaffold_251, strain Mel28